AGCUAAAGCAAAUCAGGCUUUAUGUGAACAUAACUCCUUGCACCUUUUGCCUUUUGGGAUGGGAUAAAAAUUUUCCACCUACUCGGAUUUCCUUCCACACCUUAAUUCCCCACCCCAACAUCCAUCAUCUCUUCAUCAUAAAGCUAUUCAGUUUCUUUCUCUGUUUUGGUUUUUAUGUAGAUCUCUUUGUGGGAAGGCUUUGGCAAAGAUAACCACAAGCUGAAAGAAUAUGAGUCGUCACACCACACCACCACCACCACCUCCUCGGAGACAGUCCUUACGAUGAUCCAUUCUUGAGGUGCUGUUGCUGCCCAUGUUUUAUAAUGUCUUCCAUUUUCAGGGGCUUUGGCAGAUGCAUAUUUGUUGCUUGUUAUCCUGUUCUCCACUGCUUUGGAUUCGAUGAUGAUUGGGCUCACCGCCAUCAUCACCGUCACAGGCACUUCCCCUGAAUUCUUGUUUCUCUAUUUUCAGUUUUAAGGUCAAUUUUCAUGGCGUGUUGAAAUUUCCUGCUUCAUUAGUAAUUCCGAAUCUUCCGAAAACACUGACAAAUUGCUUUGGGAAUUUGGCAAUAGGUAUUAAUUCGUCAAAUGGUGUUGAUAAGUCUUUACAAAUACCAAAAGACUCUUGGCAUUCAUAUGAAUUAGAAUUACUUGACAGACCUAUGCAGUUAAUUCGCAUGCCUUGUUAUCAAAUUACAUUCCAUUGGAAUUAUGAAGUGGUAAAGCAUCAAACCCCAUUUUAUUGUA